CGGGUGAGUAAUACAUCGGAACGUGCCCUGUAGUGGGGGAUAACUAGUCGAAAGAUUAGCUAAUACCGCAUACGACCUGAGGGUGAAAGUGGGGACCGCAAGGCCUCAUGCUAUAGGAGCGGCCGAUGUCUGAUUAGCUAGUUGGUGGGGUAAAGGCCUACCAAGGCGACGAUCAGUAGCUGGUCUGAGAGGACGAUCAGCCACACUGGGACUGAGACACGGCCCAGACUCCUACGGGAGGCAGCAGUU
rnacentral:rRNA from 1 species